rnacentral:rRNA from 1 species
UACAGAGGUGGCAAGCGUUGUUCGGAAUUACUGGGCGUAAAGGGCGCGUAGGCGGUCUUGCAAGUCCCGUGUGAAAUCCCUCGGCUUAACCGGGGAACUGCGUCCGAUACUGGUUGGCUUGAGUUUGGGAGAGGGAUGCGGAAUUCCAGGUGUAGCGGUGAAAUGCGUAGAUAUCUGGAGGAACACCGGUGGCGAAGGCGGCAUCCUGGACCAAUACUGACGCUGAGGAGCGAAAGCCAGGGGAGCAAACGGG